GCAAGCUUAAGCCGUUAGGUGUAGGCGCAGCGAAAGCGAGUCUGAAUAGGGCGAACAUAGUUAGUUUGAGUAGACGCGAAACCGUGUGAUCUACCCUUGGGCAGGUUGAAGCUUUGUUAACCCAAAGUGGAGGACCGAACCCGUUGACGUUGAAAAGUCUUGGGAUGACCUGAGGGUAGGGGUGAAAGGCCAAUCAAACUCGGAGAUAGCUGGUUCUCUGCGAAAUCUAUUUAGGUAGAGC
rnacentral:rRNA from 14 species